rnacentral:rRNA from 1 species
AUUGAACGCUGGCGGCAGGCCUAACACAUGCAAGUCGAGCGAGCGGCGGACGGGUGAGUAAUGUAUGGGGACUGCCCGAUAGAGGGGGAUAACUACUGGAAACGGUGGCUAAUACCGCAUACUAUCGGAUAACCCAUAUGGGUGUAGUUAGUAGGUGGGGUAAAGGCUCACCUAGGCGCCGAUCGCUAGCUGGUCUGAGAGGAUGAUCGGCCACCCUGGGACUGAGACACGGCGCAGACUCCUACGGAGGAAGCAGUGGUGAAUAUUGCGCAAUGGGCGAAAGCCUGAUGCAGCAAUGCCGCGUGUAUGAAGAAGGCCUUAGGGUUGUAAAGUACUUUCAGCGGGGAGGCGUUACCCGAAGAAGAAGCACCGGCUAACUCCGUGCCAGCAGCCGCGGUAAUAC